GAUGAACGCUGGCGGUAUGCUUAACACAUGCAAGUCGAACGGUACCUUCGGGUAUAGUGGCGGACGGGUGAGUAACGCGUGAGAAUCUAUCUUCAGGUCGGGGACAACAGUUAGAAAUGACUGCUAAUACCGGAUGUGCCGAAAGGUAAAAGAUUUAUUGCCUGAAAAAGAGCUCGCGUCAGAUUAGCUAGUAGGUGGUGUAAGAGACUACCUAGGCUUCGAUCUGUAGCUGGUCUGAGAGGACGAUCAGCCACACUGGAACUGAGACACGGUCCAGACUCCUACGGGAGGCAGCAGUGGGGAAUUUUCCGCAAUGGGCGAAAGCCUGACGGAGCAAUACCGCGUGAGGGACGAAGGCUCUUGGGUCGUAAACCUCUUUUCUCAAGGAAGAUUCAGACGGUACUUGAGGAAUAAGCAUCGGCUAACUCGGUG
rnacentral:rRNA from 1 species